CAGGGAUUGCCUCAGUAACGGCGAGUGAAGCGGCAACAGCUCAAAUUUGAAAGCUGGCCUUUCCAAGGUCCGCGUUGUAAUUUGUAGAGGAUGUUUCGGGCGCGGUGCCGGUCUAAGUUCCUUGGAACAGGACGUCAUGGAGGGUGAGAAUCCCGUAUGUGACUGGUGGCCUGCGCCUCUGUGAAACUCCUUCGACGAGUCGAGUUGUUUGGGAAUGCAGCUCAAAAUGGGAGGUGUAUUUCUUCUAAAGCUAAAUAUUGGCCAGAGACCGAUAGCGCACAAGUAGAGUGAUCGAAAGAUGAAAAGCACUUUGGAAAGAGAGUUAAACAGUACGUGAAAUUGUUGAAAGGGAAGCGCUUGCAACCAGACUUGCGCGGCGUCGAUCCGUCCGGGUUCUCCCGGGUGUACUCGGCGCCGCUCAGGCCAGCAUCAGUUUCGGCGGUGGGAUAAAGGCCUGGGGAAUGUGGGUGACUUCGGACACCGUUAUAGCCCCGGGCGCAAUGCCGCCUGCCGGGACUGAGGACCGCGUUCGGCUAGGAUGCUGGCGUAAUGGUUGUAAGCGACCCGUCUUGAAACACGGACCAAGGAGUCAAACAAUUGUGCGAGUGUUUGGAUG
rnacentral:rRNA from 1 species